AUCUCAUACCUAGAAAAGAGAAGGAGCAGUACUGGACAGGCUCUGAGAAGGGAAUAAUAAUAAAAGCCACAGGGGGCAGGCACCACAAAAAUGGUUCUUUCCCAAACAUGCCUUGUCCUCUGGACUCUUCCUUCUAUCCCAAAUCUUCCAAGCUCUGAUCUCAGCUGAGCCAGUGUGGCAGUCAUGAAAAAGUAGCAUUACCUUUGUAUUUGUGACUCUCCGCCCAACACACAAACCUAUCUGAUGCCUGGACUGAAAAAAGAUCUAACCGCAACCCCAAAUAUCUGUGUGCAGAGAAUCUUGCCUCUCCAACCCCCUACCUUUCUCUCCUGGAUGCCCUAAGACUUCCUGGUGUGAUGCAUAGGGUACUCUGUGGCAUCAUCCCAGCUGGUGAUCAGACAGAGCCAUACAUGACAGUGGGUUAAAGGAAGUUCAUUAAGUCUACAGGUAGCCUCAAUGUGCUACAACCCUGCCUGGGGUGGGGCCCAAUUUAGAAGGAUGUUCUAGAACCCUCAUGGGAGACAGGACACAAGUCACUAACUGACAUGCAGGACCAAGUGACCCUCACUCUGAGAAACUCUUUAAGAGGCUCAAUAAUAAAAUACCUCCCACUAUCUAUCCAGGUACUGAUAAGGCCCUCAUAGCUGAGAUCCUGGAGUAUUUCCCCUUACAUUAAAAACAACACUACCCUCUCUCUUGCUUUACAGACACCAAGCCUGGACGUUACUCUUUGGCACACUGAUUUCCUCCUCCUAUGAGCCCCUCCACCCCCCCUCUAUUUCUCACAGACCAUAGAAGGAGAUGGCUACUUCCAUGACUGUUAGCAUCAUCAAUGCUUCAGAAUCACAGGCGCUCCAGCCUGAGACGAGCCAGCUCCUUCUGAUACGGGGACAUUUCUAUCAGGGACCUCCCAACAGCACCUUCUGCAAGAGUCUGCAAAAACCUGAUCGAUCAACAAGAACAAGCUCUUGCAUUUCUAUAACAUCUCUUAGCUGGGGAAUUCAAAGCAUCUUACAAACUGUGGCCCAAAGUGACUAGUGAGUUUAGUUGCUACAAUUUUUGAAUGCCCAAAUGGAUUUUCAAAGGGCAGGUGCUCGAUAUUUUCUGAAAAUCUGGCCCCUUUAAGGUGGCUCAAGCUGGGCAUCCAAAAAUCACUGGACCAUUCCAGCUGCCCCUACUCCCAAACACGUGUGAUCUUCCAGAUAAAGGGGUAGGGGACAGUCGGCUGUUUCUGGUGAAGGGGAGUUUGAGGAAGGGAGUGCUGGAAGACUGACAUCCCUACUGGGACGGAGUUAAAGGUGUGUUGUGUUCCAUGCUGUUUGUUCUAGCAGUGAGGUGUGUGUCUGAGUGAAGAAGUAAAAAAUGUUAGAAGCUUUAACUUUUCAUUUUCAGGGUUUUGUGUAAGUCUGUUGUGUAUAAAGCAAGCUUGACUCACACACACUGUAGGAUUUUUAUGUACUAAUAAAGCUCUAAAGUACAAGACAUCACGAGAGAAUGACUGCCAUAUAACGUAGGUAAUCAUCCACUAACCGCUUCUCUUAAAACAAUAAUUAGCACCUCCAAUGACAUUGGGGACAGUAGGGCUGACACGCAAGGCCCACAGGCUGAUGUCUGGAAGAUGUCAGCUUAGCCAUACUAGGCCACAAGCUUAAAAAAUGCUUGACAUAGGUAAGGACCAAAGAAUGACCCUAUGCCACAAGAUUAUGGGAAAAGAUGUACCAAUGGGUGGUAUUGUGAAAAAUUAACCUUAAGAGUAAUUUUUGACUACAAGAUACCCAAUAGUCACAUUGUUUUAACACGGGCCCUAACUACAGGGUGCACUAUGUGCAUCACUGCUAAUGGGAAUAAAAGGAACUACAAACAACCUAUGAAAAAUGGGAGACCCCAAUAUUCUUGGGGGACACAAUACAAAUAAGGAAAAAGAGGGUGGACACCUUCAUCCACAUGCACAGAGCGUAGGUGUAGUCAGAAUCAGAGGGCUCCCAGACUGGGUAAAAUGAGUUCCCUACAGGAAAAUUGCAUCAGGAAUCAUCCCUCUACUGAUGAUCAAUUGGCAAGACAUCCAUCAGACCCUAAGAAUAUCAUUAAGGAUGUGAGUAUGACUAUAUUUCUAACUUGUGCGUAGGUCUUUAUAGAAUGUUUAUAUUCAUGGGUAAUCAUAACUGUCACUUUAAUAAAACUUGUAAAACAGA